GUGUUUUAGUGUCCCCAAUGUGUCCCCUAGUGUCUCAGUGUCCCCAUGUGUCCCUGCUGCCUUUCCUCCGAUCCCUCACUUACCUGAGCUGUAGAGCUGCUGUCUGGACUCCCUGUGCUGUGUAGCUGCUCCCCCACUGAUCAGUGAGUAGUAGAGAGAGGCAGGGAUAUUCUGUAACUUCCUAUCCCUGCCUCUCUCCACACACAGUGACCCCUACUGGCCGGUGCUG